rnacentral:rRNA from 1 species
UAUUGGUCAAUGGGCGGGAGCCUGAACCAGCCAAGUCGCGUGAGGGAAGACGGUCCUACGGAUUGUAAACCUCUUUUGCCGGGGAGCGACGGGGUCCUUGCGAGGGCCCAAUGAGAGUACCCGGAGAAAAAGCAUCGGCUAACUCCGUGCCAGCAGCCGCGGUAAUACGGAGGAUGCGAGCGUUAUCCGGAUUUAUUGGGUUUAAAGGGUGCGUAGGCUGUGAGGUAAGUCAGCGGUGAAAUGCCCCCGCUCAACGGGGUGAAGUGCCAUUGAUACUGCCUUGCUGGAAUGCGGAUGCCGUGGGAGGAAUGUGUGGUGUAGCGGUGAAAUGCAUAGAUAUCACACAGAACACCGAUUGCGAAGGCAUCUCACGAAUCCGCGAUUGACGCUGAUGCACGAAAGCGUGGGUAUCAAACAGG